rnacentral:lncRNA from 1 species
AUGCAGCGAAUAAUUGAGAAACAGCACCAUGUUGUGAUUACCGAUAGGAUGUGGGCGAGGCUCCUGUCUUCAACAAAUCAGCCAAGCUUUAUGAACCAUAAAGAUGUCAUUGAAGACAAGAAAGAGGAAGAACUACUAACCCAGAUUGUCAAUGAAGACAAGAAAGAGGAAGAACUACCAACCAAGAUACCGGACAUUUCUACUGAAGACAAUUUGGUGAAGAAAGAGAUAGCUGCCUAGGAAGAACUACCAACCAAGAUAUCACAAAACUUAUGUACAUGAGUAUUAU